rnacentral:rRNA from 1 species
GGACUACAAGGGUAUCUAAUCCUGUUUGCUCCCCACGCUUUCGCGCCUCAGCGUCAGUAUCGGUCCAGAGAGCCGCCUUCGCCACCGGUGUUCUUCCCAAUAUCUACGAAUUUCACCUCUACACUGGGAAUUCCACUCUCCUCUCCCGAACUCAAGCAUCGGAGUAUCAAACGCAGUUCCCAGGUUGAGCCCGGGGCUUUCACGCCUGACUUCCGACGCCGCCUACGCGCCCUUUACGCCCAGUAAUUCCGAACAACGCUCGCCCCCUUCGUAUUACCGCGGCUGCUGGCAC